CCUACGGGAGGCAGCAGUGGGGAAUAUUGCACAAUGGGGGAAACCCUGAUGCCGCGACGCCGCGUGAGCGAUGAAGUAUUUCGGUAUGUAAAGCUCUAUCAGCAGGGAAGAAAAUGACGGUACCUGACUAAGAAGCCCCGGCUAACUACGUGCCAGCAGCCGCGGUAAUACGUAGGGGGCAAGCGUUAUCCGGAUUUACUGGGUGUAAAGGGAGCGUAGACGGUCCUGCAAGCCAGAUGUGAAAGCCCGGGGCUCAACCCCGGGACUGCAUUUGGAACUGUAAGGCUAGAGUGUAGGAGAGGCAGGCGGAAUUCCUAGUGUAGCGGUGAAAUGCGUAGAUAUUAGGAGGAACACCAGUGGCGAAGGCGGCCUGCUGGACGAUGACUGACGUUGAGGCUCGAAAGCGUGGGGAGCAAACAGGAUUAGAUACCCGGGUAGUC
rnacentral:rRNA from 1 species